GCUGGGCUUGGUAACGCGAGCCUGUAACCCAAGUGGGAGCAUUAAGAUGGUGGGAUGAUUCGGUUUACCUUGAAUGCUGGGCUUGGGGUGCUAUUUACCGGCCUGCCCGUUCCAAGUGGUGAGUUGGGUUGUGGAGUCUUUGCGAAGGCGGAGGCUUCUCGGCCCUUAGACCGGAGGGUAUUGCGUCAGGCUGGUUUCACAGAGCAGCGAACACCUCCUCCUCUCUGCAGUGGAAGGAUAACAGGUCGGAGCUUCUUCAGUCCAUUAGAGCCUGAUGGGUUGCCCAAUUGAACCACCAUCUUU
rnacentral:SRP_RNA from 1 species